rnacentral:rRNA from 1 species
UACGUAGGGUGCAAGCGUUAAUCGGAAUUACUGGGCGUAAAGCGUGCGCAGGCGGUUAUGUAAGACAGAGGUGAAAUCCCCGGGCUCAACCUGGGAACUGCCUUUGUGACUGCAUAGCUGGAGUACGGCAGAGGGGGAUGGAAUUCCGCGUGUAGCAGUGAAAUGCGUAGAUAUGCGGAGGAACACCAAUGGCGAAGGCAAUCCCCUGGGCCUGUACUGACGCUCAUGCACGAAAGCGUGGGGAGCAAACAGG